rnacentral:rRNA from 1 species
UGAUGUGGGGGAUAACCAUUGGAAACGAUGGCUAAUACCGCAUGAUGCCUACGGGCCAAAGAGGGGGACCUUCGGGCCUCUCGCGUCAGGAUAUGCCUAGGUGGGAUUAGCUAGUUGGUGAGGUAAGGGCUCACCAAGGCGACGAUCCCUAGCUGGUCUGAGAGGAUGAUCAGCCACACUGGAACUGAGACACGGUCCAGACUCCUACGGGAGGCAGCAGUGGGGAAUAUUGCACAAUGGGCGCAAGCCUGAUGCAGCCAUGCCGCGUGUGUGAAGAAGGCCUUCGGGUUGUAAAGCACUUUCAGUCGUGAGGAAGGU